rnacentral:rRNA from 1 species
UGACGAGAAGACCCCGUCAAACUUUAAUUAUCAUAUAUAAAAGUGAAAUACAAGAUAUAAAUUAAUUUUAGUUGGGGCAACUGGGAGGGAUAAAAAUCUUUUAUUAAAUCAUUUAUAAUAAUAUUUAUAUUUAUGAUCCAAAUUUAGUUAAUUUUGAAUUUAGAAU